CUAGCAGUAGAUAUACUAAAAUUGGAAAGAUACAGAGAAGAUUAGCAUAGUCUCUCCAUAACAAUGACAUGCAAUUUCUUAAUGUGUACUACAAAAAA
ensembl:snRNA U6 U6 spliceosomal RNA